rnacentral:lncRNA from 13 species
GGAAACAGAGGCUCAGAGAGACGGAACCACCUGCCCAAGGUCACACAACAAGGUGUUGUGGCUGGGCUGGCUUAUUCUUCAGCUUCCGAAAAGGCUGUUCUUCUGCAGGGAGAAGCAGAGCCAACCGCUGCCAGGGACGGUUGUGCCCCCUCAGCUGGGGUCCCGGCCCCCAAAGAUGACCACCAGGCAGGUCCAGCAGAAUCCCAGAGGGCCCCUCUCUGCACUGCCUCACGACAGACCAGCAAGCCACUGUCCUUCCAGACCGCCCAGGCUGGCAGCCAGAGCCGCUGAGGUCUAGAGUGGAGCCAGGAACUUAAUAAACCCAGGGCACGCGCGCCUAGAAACUUCUUCUGGCCCCUUCUGGGCUGCAAGCCUUCUAUUUAUUUGCUGCUGGAGGCUGGAGGCGGGUUUUGCAAGCGUCUCCUGUCACAGGAGUAUUCGGAGGUGAUGAACCAGCCCCAGAGAAUCCACAGAAGGAACAGCUGGGCUGGCAGGGAGGGGCUGCGUCCAAGUUCAGCCAGCCUCUCCAGACACUCUCUCCUCCCCUGGCCACUCUGCUCAGCUCCGCCCUCUGCUCGCUCCGGGAGCUGGAGCCGCCCACCGCAAGCAAGGCACAGAGGCUUGGCUAUUAAUAACCCCGAGCCUGGCUGAGGGCUCAGGUCACCCUCUGGAAAUACCUUCCCCAGAGCGUGUUGUAUCCUGCCUUUCCCCUGGGGACCUGCAGAAGGGAAAGAGAGAGACAGGAGCUCAGUGGAUUUGAAGGAUGGCCCUGGGUUGGAAUCCCCACUUACAAGGUAGACAAUUUGGGGCAUGUCAUUUUCCUUCUGUGGGCUUCAGGGUCUCUGCCUUGCUGUCUUCACGAGAUGAGGGUGAAAAAAUAGAGGCGCAGAGCCUUGGGCCUUGUACACAGAUGGAGUGGCAGUGCCUGGUAGGGAACCUGAGUUGCUCUGAAUCCCAUAUCUGUGCUGAGCAGACAGAUGAAGACACCUGCCCUCCUCCCCAGCUGAGAAAGAAUGAUCGAGACCCCACAGUGGGACAUGUCCCAAGUGACUGAGCCCCCACUGGAUGUGGGGUGAGCUCAUCAGACU